rnacentral:hammerhead_ribozyme from 1 species
AUGCAGUUGACGAGUCUCAAACAGGACGAAACGCUCGUCCUGAAU